rnacentral:rRNA from 1 species
CAGCAGCCGCGGUAAUACGGAGGGUGCGAGCGUUGUUCGGAUUUACUGGGCGUAAAGGGCGCGUAGGCGGUCUUAUAAGCCAGAUGUGAAAGCCACGGCUCAACCGUGGAAGUGCAUCUGGAACUGUAAGACUUGAGUACUGGAGGGGAGUGUGGAAUUCCCGGUGUAGAGGUGAAAUUCGUAGAUAUCGGGAGGAAUACCGGUGGCGAAGGCGACACUCUGGACAGAUACUGAGCCUGAGGCGCGAAAGCGUGGGGAGCAAACAGGAUUAGAUACCCUGGUAGUCCACAGCUGUAAACGAUGUGCACUAGGUGUGGGGUGCGUUGACCCUUUCCGUGCCGGUCUMMCGCGAUAAGUCACCGCCUGGGGGUACGGUCG